UGCCAAUUGUUUUUAAUUCCCCUCAAGCUGACUUGUACAUAGAAAUGACCUCAGAACAACCACUCAGAGCAUCUGGGGAGUCAUUCCUUUCCUCUUCCUUGUUGUUUUUGAUGGAAGGAAAAGUGUCAGGCCCAUUGAAGUUACCACGUGCCAUGGCUGUGAGUGCCUUCACUACUUGGAGUAGGCUCAUCAGUAGACAACCCUCCCAGAGCUCUACGUGCAGCCGGCAUCUGCGCGGUCUGUUAGGACACAGCCUUGCUCUGUUGCCCAAGCUGGAGUGGGCAACAACCCAUCCACCUUGGCCUCCCAAAGUGCUGGGAUUACAGCCACCUAUUCUAGAGGAGCAGUAUUGAAGGGCUUGGGGAAACCGAGUGCUCUCUAAGUGUGGCCCUCACCAUCCUUCCUGGUGCGCUAUCUCCAGCCGUGCAUCCGAAAACAUCCCAGUCUGCCCCUGGCCUCUGCAUGGAGCCUGACCCCCAACACAGACCUCUCAAGAGGUUCUGGAUUCACUGGUGCUGCUACAGCCCUGAGCAAAAACACAGCUGUUUCGUUUACCACCCCACCCCAACAUAAGCUGUCCUCAGACUUUACAAAGACUUAGGGAUUGCACAGUCCACAAGACUUUCAAUGCCUUUGCCCUGUAUCUCAACUAACUUUCAAAUAGAGGGACCUUCUUAUAGGAAGAAGAAGGAAAAAUCAAGUGGAAAAACACCUUGAUCAGAGAUAGGGUUUCAUCACGUUGGCUGGGCUGGCAUCAGACUCCUGACCUCAGGUGAUCUGCUUGCCUCGGCCUCCUGAAGUGCUGGGAUUACAGAUGUGAGCCACCAUGCCCGGCCUCAUUUGAACUCCUUAAUCAUCAACAAGAGAUGAGGUGUCGCUAUGUUGGCCAGGCUGAUCUUGAACUCCUGGCUUCAAGAGAUCAUCCUGCCUCGGCUUCCUAAAGUGCUGGGAUUACAGAGGAAAGGCCAUGUGAGGACACAUCAAGAAGGUGGCCAUCUGCAAGCCAGGAAGUGAGGCCUCACCAGACGCCAGCCCUGCUGACUCCUGAUCUUGGACUUUCAGC
rnacentral:lncRNA from 1 species